rnacentral:rRNA from 1 species
AGCAGCCGCGGUAAUUCCAGCUCCAAUAGCGUAUAUUAAAGUUGUUGCCGUUAAAAAGCUCGUAGUUGAACCUUGGGCCUGGCUGACCUGUCCUCCUAAUCGAGCGCACGGGUUCGGUCGGGCCUUUCCUUCUGGGGAUCCCGAUGCCCUUCACUGGGCGUCGUGGGGAACCAGGACUUUUACCUUGAAAAAAUUAGAGUGUUCAAAGCAGGCCUUUGCUCGAAUACAUUAGCAUGGAAUAAUAGAAUAGGACAGAGGUUCUAUUUUGUUGGUUUCUAGGACCGCUGUAAUGAUUAAUAGGGAUAGUCGGGGGCGUCCGUAUUCAAUUGUCAGAGGUGAAAUUCUUGGAUUUAUUGAAGACGAGCUACUGCGAAAGCAUUCGCCAAGGAUGUUUUCAUUAAUCAGUGAACGAAAGUUAGGGGAUCGAAGACGAUCAGAUACCGUCGUAGUCUUAACCAUAAACUAUGCCGACUAGGGAUCGGACGGUGGUUUUUUUAUNCCCCG